rnacentral:rRNA from 1 species
CCACAAGCAAUAAGCGGAUGCCUAGGCACUGAUAAAUUAGACGUUUUUCGAAAAGCAAUAUUUUUACAUAUAAAAUGUAAAAAAAUAUUGCGUUCUAUUUUAGAAAACUUUUAUUUUAAAAAUAUAAUAAAUGGAGUGAACUGAAACAUCUAAGUAACUCUUAAAAAAAUCAAACGAGAUUCCGUUAGUAGUGGCGAGCGAAAGCGGAAAGGACUUUUUACUCUAAAUUGAAUUAUUAGCCAUAGAAGGUUAUAGCCCUGUAAAUUUAGGUUUUGAAGUACAAGAAGUAGGGCAGUCUUCUGUCUGAACAUUGGGGUACCACCCUCAAUACUAAAAAUUAUUGGUGACCGAUAGUGAAUAAGUACCGUAAGGGAAAGGUGAAAAAAGCUCUUAUAGAGGUGAAAAGACCUGAAACUUAUUGUUAACAAACUGUUAAAGUUUUUAAAACGAUAGCGUACCUUUUGCAUAAUGGGCCAGUGAGUUUAUUUAAAUGGCUAGCUUAAGCAGUAAUGUGUAGGCUUAGAGAAAUCGAAUAUUAAAAGUGUGUUUUAAGUCAUUUGAAUAAGACCCGAAACUGGGUGAUCUAACCAUGAGCAGGUUGAAAGCAGUCUAGUAAUAGACGUUGGAGGACCGAACCCGUGUAUGUAGAAAAAUACUGGGAUGACUUGUGGUUAGGGGUGAAAGGCCAAUCAAACUCAGAGAUAGCUGGUUUUCCGCGAAAUCUAUUUAAGUAGAGCGUUCUUUUUUAAUCGUGGGGUAGAGCUCUCGAUAAGCUAGGGGGAUUUUAAUCUUACCAAACUUAAUGAAACUACAAAUACGCUAAAUUAAAAUUAGAGCAGACAGACAUUGGAUGCUAAGGUCUUUUGUCAAGAGGGAAACAGCCCAGAUUAUUUGUUAAGGUCUUCAAUAAAUAUUUAAGUGAAUAAUGCUGUGAUAAAACUAAGACAAUCAUUAGGUGGGCUUGGAAGCAGCCAUCCUUUAAAGAAAGCGUAAUAGCUCGUUGAUCUAGUUUUUUUGCGCUUAAGAUGUAUAGAGACUAAAAAUAUUAACCGAAACAAUAAAUCAGAAAUGAUGGUAGCGGAACGUUCUGUAAUUUUUAGAAGAAAAGCUGUAAAGUUAUUUUGGAGAAAUCAGAAGUGAGUAUACUGGCAUGAGUAGCGAUAAACAAUGUGAAAAACAUUGUCGCCGUAAAUCCAAGGUUUUUGAAGCAAGGCUAAUCCUCUUCAAUAAAAAUUAUUUUAAUUUUUCAAUAAGACGGCCCCUAAGAUAAUAAACUAAAGUUUAUGUUAAUGGGUGAUUUUAUACAAUUCUUUUUAAAGUGACAUAAGACGAAGUUUAUAGUAAAAGUAAUUUAUUGUUUAUUAGUCUUAUCGGGAAAUAGCUUUAAAUAUAUAAAACCGUACUUUAAACCGACACAGGUGGAUAGGUUGAGUAAACUAAGGCGCUUGAGAGAACUUUGUUGAAGGAACUCGGCAAAAUGGCCCUGUAACUUCGGGAGAAGGGGUAAUUUUUUUAGGGCAACCUAGAAAAAUUGGCACAGAAUUGGAGGUAGCGACUAUUUAGUAAAAAUACAAGUCUCUGCUAAUUUGUAAAAAGAUGUAUAGGGACUGACACCUGCCCGGUGCUGUAAGAUAAAAAAAUUAUUGUCUUGGCUUUAAUUUUAAAUCCCAGUAAACGGCGGCCGUAACUCUGACGGUCCAAAGGUAGCGAAAUUCCUUGUCGGGUAAGUUCCGACCUGCAUGAAUGGUGUAACGACUUCCUCACUGUCUCCAACAAAGACUCAGUGAAAUUGAAAUAUCCGUGAAGAUGCGGAUUACUUGUAGCUAGACGGAAAGACCCCGUGCACUUUUACUAUAAGCAUAUAUUGUAAAAAGUUUAAUUUUGUGUAGAAUAGGUGGGAGCUGUUUGAAAUCUUUACGCAAGUAAAUUAUUUAGGCAACUUUGAAAUACCACCCUUUUUUAAAUUGUUUACUCACUCUAUUUAGAGGACAGUUUAUGCCGGGUAGUUUAGCUGGGGCGGCUGCCUCCUAAAAAGUAACGGAGGCGUACAAAGGUAAACUCAAAUAAUUUUCAUUAUUUUAGAGCGUAAUGGUAUAUGUUUGCCUGACUGUGAGAUUGAUAAAUCGAACAGAGAUGAAAAUCGGUCAUAGUGAUCCGGUGGUUCUUCGUGGAAAGACCAUCGCUCAACAAAUAAAAAGUACGCCGGGGAUAACAGGCUGAUGCCUCUCUAGAGCUCUUAUCGACAGGGGCGUUUGGCACCUCGAUGUCGGCUCAUCACAUCCUGAAGCUGAAGAAGGUUUCAAGGGUUCGGCUGUUCGCCGAGUAAAGUGGUACGCGAGCUGGGUUUAGAACGUCGUGAGACAGUUUGGUCCCUAUCUACUACAAGCGUUAGAAAAUUGAAGAGAUUAUUCUCUAGUACGAGAGGACCGAGAAACGCAAACCUCUGGUGUAUCGGUUGUUUUCUAAGCAGUGCCGAGUAGCUAAGUUUGUUUUAGAUAAUCACUGAAAGCAUCUAAGUGAGAAACUGACUCUGAGAUAAAUUUUCUUUAAGAUCGUAAAAGACUAUUACGUUGAUAGGCUUUGU